UUCCAUCGCGACCCAGUCAGCGGGACUACCCGCUG
rnacentral:rRNA from 1 species